AUUGAACGCUGGCGGCAGGCCUAACACAUGCAAGUCGAACGGUAGCACAGAGAGCUUGCUCUCGGGUGACGAGUGGCGGACGGGUGAGUAAUGUCUGGGAAACUGCCCGAUGGAGGGGGAUAACUACUGGAAACGGUAGCUAAUACCGCAUAAUGUCGCAAGACCAAAGAGGGGGACCUUCGGGCCUCUUGCCAUCGGAUGUGCCCAGAUGGGAUUAGCUAGUUGGUGAGGUAAUGGCUCACCAAGGCGACGAUCCCUAGCUGGUCUGAGAGGAUGACCAGCCACGCUGGAACUGAGACACGGUCCAGACUCCUACGGGAGGCAGCAGUGGGGAAUAUUGCACAAUGGGCGCAAGCCUGAUGCAGCCAUGCCGCGUGUAUGAAGAAGGCCUUCGGGUUGUAAAGUACUUUCAGCGGGGAGGAAGGGGAUGCGGUUAAUAACCGUGUUGAUUGACGUUACCCGAAGAAGAAGCACCGGCUAACUACGUG
rnacentral:rRNA from 1 species